UGGCGCUGCCCAUGCUCUCACAGAUGCCAUAAUGCGACGGGAGAGGCUAUACAGACACUGGUGCCCAAAUUGAUGACGUAUGUCAUGCAGCUGAGAGUCAAGUGGAGAGGAAUGGAUUUGGUUCAGUCAAUCAGUUAUGCUGGCAACAAAAGAAUAUGACGCUAGUUAAAACUUGUAAAAGAAAGUGAAGUCUAUUUCGAUGGGUGAGGGAGAAAAAACUUGUAGUAUUGGUCACCAUCUGGAUGUCACCAUGACAAGCAAUUAGUUGAUGUAAUGAAUGUGCAACGGUGUUGUAUCGAGGUACUUGCAGCAGUUGCUUCCCAACGCAGCUGUAUCACAUGUCGCUGGUGGUAGUUAACGUGGCAAAUGUCUUCCACCCCACUUCAUUUUAUUUUGAGUAGUAUGGAAAUAACUUGUAACAUUGGUAGUAACCAUCUGGAUGUCACUGUGAUACAGUUUAUUGCGCAAUGGUGUGAGUUUGCGCUGCAAGCCAGCAACACAACAUGGGGCAUGUGUCCUUCACUCCCGCUUGACGGUCAGGGUGACAGCUAAAGCACCUACAUUGUAGCGAUUUUCACCAAUUUUUAUUUUUACUGCAAUAAGAACGGAAUGCUUCUACACUACAAUUUUCAACUUCGGCAGACAAGUUUCAAAUUCUUGCUGGAGUUUUUAGCCACAAGCAUAAUCUAGCUAGCUGGGAAGGGCUCAUCGGGACAACUGACGGAACCGAAACCCUCCGUCAUGUAGGCUUUCCAUGGCAUGACAUUUUGAGAACUGAAAAUCUCUCGGUCAAGGUUGAAAAUGCAAUGAAACAGGGACAGACAUGGUUAUUUUGCACUGAUGUGCAAAGAACAUGGGAUGCAGGUCCAUGCUGUUUGCCACCUGUCCAUGCUGUGGUUCUCUGACAAAUGGCCACCCCUCUCCCCGGUCUCAUUGACGGCCAUCUGGCAUAUACCGUGAGGCGCCUCCUGAAUGUUCGACCUCGAGGUAGGGGAUUCCAGUACCUGGUUGAUUGGGAGGGUUAUGGCCGAGAGGAGAGGUGCUGGGUCCCCGCUAGGAACUUCCUGGACCCAGCCCUCAUCGCUGAGUUCCGCCGCCAGGUGGCGUCCCUAGUGAGAGGGGGUACUGUCACACCUGAUCCUUUUUUUAACGGCCUUGACUUACUUUUUGCCUGCCCCUGGUACUAUAAUAAACUCUGAGACUCAUA